CCUGCUGCAUCGUUCUGUAUCGAAAAAAUUCUGAGAGGUAGUGUCCUGGCCAGACAUCCACCCUACAGGGAUAAAACUUUUUUUUUUCAUGAAAACUGAUGGACAAAACCCAACCAGAAUUCAUUGAUACAAUGAACCAGAACAAACACCGUUAAAAUAUUAAAAAAAAUAAAAUUUUAAUGAAAAGAAUCCAACAUUACAAGAAUUUAGAAUUCAGAGGAGAAAUCAAACAAAUAACACAGACCGAUAGAAUUAAAACCAGCC
rnacentral:lncRNA from 1 species